rnacentral:lncRNA from 1 species
UGCAAGUUUUGUGAAUUAUUGUGAGUCCAAAUUACCCCAUCAGAUCCAUUACUACUACUAUUACUACUAUAGUGUGCUUUGCAGUUUUGAGCAAUUUACUGAAUAUACUAGCGCAUUUGCAGAAUACGGCUACAAGUCUGCAACACUGGCACAAUGACAAAGUCCAAAUGCCAAUUGUGUUGGUUCCAGCAUUGUCAAUCGAUCUGCACAUAGCACCGAACAGUGUGGAAGACACGCAUUACAUUUCAAAAUAGUAUGUCCCUGUACUGUGAUCUGAAGUAAAACCCUGAAAUAAUUGUUUUCAAGUUUGUAUCCAUGUAUUUUAUAUCCUUUUCGUCUGGAUUUCACUGUUGAUCCAUACUGACUACAAAUGUCUUCUUCUACCUAGCAUUGUUUGACUGUCAAAUUCCAUAAGAAUAUUAAGUUUAAAUUCCAUAUCUGUUUGACAUGAUUAAUUAAUCUGGUUGUUUCAUGUCUAAGCAUAUUUGCUUGCAGGAUUUCUGCACUUAUUUUUUCCACCUACGUACUAGUAUAUCUUGUUGUUCAUAGAUAGAUUAAUGUAUGGAGAGAUUAAUUGUCUGAACUAUUAUAGAUGUCCUUAUCAUGUUGCCUAGUGGAGCCACACGUGUUCAGGUCCUCGCUAUCCUCGCCAAUGUUUCGUAUAUGAAGGGGAUAAUCCUGGUAAUUUUUGGGUGUGGGAAUGCUCUUGCUAUGAAUGAUGACUUCUAGUCUUUGCAUUUGUGUGUAUUUGUAUGUUGUAAUUCGCUGAGCGAACUGUUGUGAGUACAGAGUAAUAGAACAUAGGUUGGCUUAUUUGGCUUUCUUGAACGUCAUCUGUCUAACCUGUUGGCCUAUUUAAAAAGCUCAUCUCCUUUUGUUUUAGCAGGUUCUUUGGCAACUAGAGAAGCAAGCUGGACAAACUUUUGGCCAUUCAAAAACUCGAUGAUCAUGACAUCGUAAGAGCAAUUAAUCUGUAUGACAACAUCAUUCUCAUCCUUGCUUGGUCUGUAAAAAUAUAAUUGAUUGUGAGCUAUUGCACAAGCACCCUGUAUAGCAUUAUGUUUGGUGUUGUGAAAGAUCAUAUUGCUAUGAAGAUAUUAUUGGUUUCAAGUCAUGCUACUAUGAGAGAUUAUGUUGUUGUGAUGUGACUGAUAUUGAUGUGAUUAGAUAUUGAUUCCAAGUCAACCAAAAUUAUGUUCUUGAUGUGAAGAACUGCUGUCACAUUUUUAUUAGGUGUCAUUCACAAUUUUAUAGCAAGUUUGUCUAGCUAUGAUGCUAUUUAACCUGUAAAGAUUGUAUUUUUAAUAGGUUUACACCAUUUUAACUCAAUAGGGAAAUCCCUGCCUACCAAACAGUGUUUUAUAUGGAGGGGUUGUGGCUGGAGAGGGAUUUGAGGUUUGAAGGGGAUCUGAGGGGAUUGGGUGGAAGAGGAGGAUUCACCAAAUCCCCUGAAAUCCCCUUCUCCCCAAACCUCUCAAAUCCACUCCUAUCAAACAAAGCCUAAGUGAGACUGUUCUUGGCCGAUCCGCUUUCUCCUCUUCUCUUAUUUUUUUAUUCUCAGUUAAAAUUUGCUGAUGUUGGAUAGCUCCCAUCAGGUUGCUCUUUUGAUUCACUGCAUUCAAGAUGCUCGUCCUAACCUGAAGCAACACCUGCACCUGAUGCUUUGACAGGGUGACCAUCAACGGUGAUUGAGGGUUAGCAGGGCCGAAGGAUUUACUGCACCAGGGAGUAGGCGAGAUCAUCGAUUUGGACGCUUCCGUCGAAGUUGUCGUCCGUGCAGUUGAUUUGGUCGUGGACGUGGAUUUUGUUAGAUGUGUAUAGUUCAUUGUGUACAUUCCCAUUGUAUAAGGGGCUUGUCUGCACUUUAUCACACCUGUAUAUGUACUUGCCUUUGGCCCUCAGUAAAGAGUUAGUUGCUCAUUUAUCCAACAUGGUAUCAGUUGCCAGGUUCCUCUUCCUCCCCCGCACGCUGCAGCUCCGUGCCUAGUUUUCCCGUCGCCGGCCACCUCCUCCCCCGUCGCCGGCCACCUUCUUCCCGCCCGGCUGCGACCUGGCAGCGCCCCGGUCGUGCUCUACCCGCCCUGGCCGCGCCCCGGCCAAUCUCUCCCUGCCCAGCUGCGUCUCGCCCACGCCCCGGGCUUCGCAUCUGGCUGGCUGCGUCCCGCCUGCGCCCCGGGCUCCGCAUCCGGCUGGCUGCUGUUGGCCGCGCCUCGCGCCCAGCCUCUGCAUCUGGCUGGCUGCUGCUGGUCGCGCCCCGUGCCCAGGCAACGCAUCUGGCUGGCUGCUGCUGGCUCCUCUGCUGCCGCAGGAGCAGCCCAGGGCCGGCCCUCCUCGUGGCUUCCCGCUUCCUCCCGAUUCCCCACUCGGGGCUGCAUCGGGCUAGCGUGAGGCUCUCAGCCCCGAUCCAGAUCGGGGAGUGUUAAAAAAAACAGAGGAGAAAACAGAGUUCUCUCAUGUCUUCUUCGGGCUAUGUUGCUAUACCUCGGUGCUCAGUGAUCUUCGAUGGCACCAACUAUGCUGAGUUUGUGGGAUUCAUGCGCAUCCAUAUGCGUGGUCUUCUUCUCUGGGGUGUUCUUUCUGGUGAGGUUCCCUGCCCGCCAUGCCCUGUCGCGCCUGUGGCCCCAAUCCCACCGGUGCCGCCGGUACUUGCUCCUGAGGCUUCCCAGGCUGACCGGGAUGCCGCCAAGGCCAUUGAUGAUGUUGCAGUUGAUGCCUACGAUCAGCAGGUAUCUUCUUACUCCGAUGCUCUUUCGGCGUACCGGGAUGAUCUAUCUGCUUACACUCAGUGGUGCAAUGAUGAUGCUCGUGCUGCUGCUGUUCUUACUGCCAGUGUCCUCCCUCAGUUUGCUUCGGAGUUCAUGGGACUUGGCACAGUUGCAGCAAUGUGGUCUUACCUUUGUCAGCGCUAUCAGCCCUCUGGUGAUGCUCUCUAUCUCUCUGUGGUGCGUCAGGAGCACGCCCUCCAGCAAGGUGAUUCCUCUGUUGAUGAGUUCUACUCACAGUGCUCUGCCAUCUGGCGUCAGCUUGACUCUCUUCGAACAGUUGUUUGUGGCACCUGUCGUUGCUGUCAGACUACUCGGUCUGAUCUGGAGUUUCAGCGGGUCCAUGAGUUCUUAUCUCGUCUCCGCUCUGAGUUUGAGCCCAGACGUGCUCACUUGCUUGCUCGUGGUCGUGUUCCAAUCUCGGGGAUGCUUGCUGAGCUUCGUGCUGAGGUGACCCGCCUUCGUUCUGCUGGUUUGCUGGUGGUCCCGUCUGUGUUGGCUGCUCAGGCUCCUGUGUCGUCUGCUCGGCUCACCGCUCCACCACUCCUCCCCACACCUUCAGGGGGGUGAGUCGCCCUGCUUAUACUGAGAGGGGCCGAUCACGCCGAGACACCUUCUGUGGCUACUGCUCUCGGCCCGGUCACCCAGAGUCUGAUUGUUGUGAGAAGAAGCGAGACCAGCGGCGCUCCUCUUCCAGUGGGACUCCUGGAUCUUCCUCGACUCCGUCACUCACUGACCAGGACAUUGUGAGGCUCAAACGCCUCCUGGCUUCCUCAGGCUCUUCGUCAACUGGUUCAGUUGCUGCUGUGACUGCAGCCACUUCUCCACCACCGCAGGCAUCUACACAGUCAGGUACAUUUUCGUGGGUUUUGGAUUCUGGAGCCUCCUUCCACAUGUCUUCUGAUUCUUCUGGGUUGUCUUCUCUCCGACCUCUUGAUUCGCCUGUUAAUGUUCUUACCGCCGAUGGCACACCUCUUCCUGUUGCUAGUCGUGGCAUUCUUUCCACUCCCUCCUUUUCUGUUCCUAGUGUCUCGCAUGUUUCUCGUCUUACCAUGAAUCUGUUUUCCGCUGCUCAACUUACUGAUUCUAGUUGUCGUGUCAUUCUUGAUACCGACUCUUGCUCCAUUCAGGAUCGACGCACCAAGGUUUUGGUUGGUGCUGGCCCCCGGCGCCGUGAGUCAGAGGGCCUUUGGGAGGUUGACUGGCUUCGUGUUCCUUCCGCUGCCACCACUCUUGCCAGCUCCCAUGCUCUUGCUGCCUCUUCGCCUGCGUCCUUCCAGCAGUGGCAUCAUCGCCUUGGUCACAUCUGUGGCUCUCGCUUGUCUUCGCUAGUUCCUCAGGGCCUCUUAGGGUCUGUAUCUGGAGAUGUCUCCUUACCUUGUAAUGGUUGCAAACUUGGCAAACAGACUCAGUUACCUUAUCCUACUAGUGAGUCUGUAUCUCAGCGUCCUUUUGACUUAGUUCAUUCUGAUGUCUGGGGUCCUGCUCCCUUUGAUUCGAAAGGUGGUCAUCGCUACUAUGUUUUGUUUAUUGAUGAUUUCUCUCGCUACACUUGGCUCUACUUCAUGAAAUCUCGUAGCGAGGUUCUCUCUAUAUACAAACGAUUUGCUGCCAUGGUUCGUACCCAGUUUUCCACGCCCAUUCGUACUUUUCGUGCUGACUCUGCUGGAGAGUAUAUCUCUCAGCUGUUGCGUGGUUUUCUUGCGGAACAGGGAACCCUUGCCCAGUUCUCAUGUCCUGGUGCUCAUGCCCAGAAUGGCGUUGCCGAACGUAAGCAUCGUCAUUUGCUUGAGACGGCUCGUGCGCUGAUGAUUGCUGCUUCUCUUCCUCCCCAUUUUUGGGCUGAGGCUGUUUCUGCAUCCACCUAUCUCAUCAACAUUCAACCAUCGCAUGCUUUGCAGGGUGGUAUUCCUCUGGAGUAUCUCACUAGUCGCUCUCCUGACUACUCUGCUCUUUGGAUGUUUGGAUGCGUGUGCUAUGUUCUCCUUGCCCCCCGAGAACGCACCAAACUGACUGCUCAAUCGGUUGAGUGUGUUUUCCUUGGUUACAGUGAUGAGCACAAGGGCUAUCGAUGUUGGGAUCCCGUGGGUCGUCGCUUGCGUAUCUCGCGUGAUGUGACUUUUGACGAGUCUCGUUCCUACUACCCACGUCCUUCUUUCUCGAGUUUCUUUGUGGAUGAUCUCUCUUUCCUUCUCCUUCCUGAUACACCCUGCUAUGUGCCUCCUGUGUCAUCUCUCCCUCCAGCACCUCUCAUUCCUUCUCCUUCACCACCUACCCCAUCUUCUCCAUCCUUGUCCUCCACCUCUCCACCAUCAUCUCCCGUCCGUCGCUCUCUCUCACCAUUCCCUCUCCACUAUACUCGUCGGUCUCGUCCUGAAGAAGUCUCCCCUGACGCGCCUUCCACCUCUGGUGCACCUCUCCUCACGCCUCCCCCGGUUCACAACCUCCGGGCUCGGCCUCGCCCCCCGCCUGAUCGCUACUCCCUUGAUCGGUACGGUAUCUCUGUUUUGACUGAGCCCACUUCCUAUCGCACUGCCAUGACUCAGCCUGAAUGGCAGCUUGCGAUGGCCGAGGAGCUUGCUGCCCUUGAGCGCUCUGGCACAUGGGAUCUGGUUCCCCUCCCUUCUGGUGUCCGUCCCAUCACCUGCAAGUGGGUCUACAAGCUUAAGACUCGCUCCGAUGGUUCUCUUGAGCGCUACAAAGCUCGUCUUGUGGCCCGUGGUUUUCAGCAGGAGCAGGGGCGCGAUUACGAUGAGACAUUCGCUCCUGUGGCCCACAUGACCACUGUCCGCACUCUUCUUGCUGUGGCUUCUGUUCGUCAGUGGUCUAUCUCUCAACUUGAUGUUCAGAACGCUUUUCUCAAUGGCGAGUUGCGUGAGGAGGUUUAUAUGCAGCCACCCCCGGGGUACUAUGCUCCUGAUGGUAUGGUCUGUAGACUUCGCCGCUCCCUAUAUGGUCUCAAACAGGCCCCUCGAGCCUGGUUUGAGCGCUUCGCAUCUGUGGUGACCGCCGCUGGUUUCUUGCCCAGUGACCAUGAUCCUGCGCUGUUUGUUCACACGUCUCCUCGUGGUCGGACUCUUCUCCUUCUCUAUGUUGAUGACAUGAUCAUCACAGGUGACGACUCGGAGUACAUUGCCUUUGUUAAGGCUCGCCUUCGAGACCAGUUCCUCAUGACUGACCUUGGUCCUCUUUGAAGGAAAUAUGCCCUAGAGGCAAUAAUAAAGUUAUUAUUUAUUUCCUUAUAUCAUGAUAAAUGUUUAUUAUUCAUGCUAGAAUUGUAUUAACUGGAAACAUAAUACAUGUGUGAAUAUAUAGACAAACAGGGUGUCACUAGUAUGCCUCUACUUGACUAGCUUGUUAAUCAAAGAUGGUUAUGUUUCCUAACCAUGGACAAAGAGUUGUUAUUUGAUUAACGGGAUCACAUCAUUAGUUGAAUGAUCUGAUUGACAUGACCCAUUCCGUUAGCUUAGCACCCGAUCGUUUAGUAUGUUGCUAUUGCUUCCUUCAUGACUUAUACAUGUUCCUAUGACUAUGAGAUUAUGCAACUCCCGUUUACCGGAGGAACACUUUGUGUGCUACCAAACGUCACAACAUAACUGGGUGAUUAUAAAGGUGCUCUACAGGUGUCUCCAAAGGUACUUGUUGAGUUGGCGUAUUUCGAGAUUAGGAUUUGUCACUCCGAAUGUCGGAGAGGUAUCUCUGGGCCCUCUCGGUAAUGCACAUCACUUAAGCCUUGCAAGCAUUGCAACUAAUGAGUCAGUUGUGAGAUGAUGUAUUACGGAACGAGUAAAGAGACUUGCCGGUAACGAGAUUGAACUAGGUAUUGGAUACCGUCGAUCGAAUCUCGGGCAAGUAACAUACCGAUGACAAAGGGAACAACGUAUGUUGUUAUGCGGUCUGACCGAUAAAGAUCUUCGUAGAAUAUGUAGGAACCAAUAUGGGCAUCCAGGUCCCGCUAUUGGUUAUUGACCGGAGACGUGUCUCGGUUAUGUCUACAUUGUUCUCGAACCGUAGGGUCCGCACGCUUAAGGUUUCGAUGUCAGUUUUAUUAUGAGUUUAUGAGUUUUGAUGUACCGAAGGAGUUCUGAGUCCCGGAUGAGAUCGGGGACAUGACGAGGAGUCUCGAAAUGGUCGAGACGUAAAGAUCGAUAUAUUGGACGACUAUAUUCGGAGUUCGGAAAGGUUCCGAGUGAUUCGGGUAUUUUUCGGAGUACCGGAGAGUUACGGGAAUUCGCCGGGGAGAAGUAUUGGGCCUUAUUGGGCCCCGCGGGAAAGAGAGAGGGGCUGCCUAGGGCAGGCCGCGCGCCCCCCCAUGGCCUAGUCCGAAUUGGACUAGGGGGAGGGGCCGCACCCCCUCCUUCCUUCCCUUCUCUCUUCCCCUUCCUUGUCUCCUACUCCUAAUACAUGGAAGGACUCCUAGUUAGACUAGGAAAGGGCGAAUCCUACUCCCGGUGGGAGUAGGACUCCCCUAGGGCGCGCCAUAGAAGAGGGCCGGCCCUCCCCUCCUCCACUCCUUUAUAUACGGGGGUAGGGGGCACCCCAUGGACACACAAGUUGAUCAUUGAGAUCGUUCCUUAGCCGUGUUCGGUGCCCCCCUCCACAAGAUUACACCUCGGUCAUAUCAUAGCGGUGCUUAGGCGAAGCCCUGCGACAGUAGAACAUCAAGAUCAUCACCACGCCGUCGUGCUGACGGAACUCCUCCCCGCGCCUCUACUGGAUCGGAGAUCGGGGAGCGUCAUCGAGCUGUACGUGUGUCAAGAACUCGGAGGUGCCGGAGUAACGGUGCUUGGAUCGGUUGGACCGGGAGGACGUACGACUACUUCCUCUAUGUUGUGUUAAUGCUUCCGCUUCGGUCUACGAGGGUACGUAGACAACACUCUCUCCUCUCGUUGCUAUGCAUCACCAUGAUCUUGCGUGUGCGUAGGAAUUUUUUUUGAAAUUACUACGUUCCCCAACACUCUUCGCUAUUUUCUUGGGAUUGAGAUCUCCUCGACCCCUGAUGGCUUCUACAUCUCCCAAGAAAAAUAUAUUCAGGAUCUUCUUACUCGCGCUGCUCUUGGUGAUGAGCGCACUGUUGUGACUCCUAUGGAGCUCAAUGUUCAGCUUCGUGGCUCUGAUGGUGACCCUCUUCCUAAUCCCACUCGCUAUCGUCACCUCGUUGGCAGCCUUGUCUAUCUGGCUGUUACGCGCCCUGACAUCUCCUAUCCUGUCCACAUCCUGAGUCAGUUUGUUUCAGCCCCCACCUCUGUCCACUAUAGUCACCUCCUCCGUGUUCUACGAUAUCUUCGUGGCACGAUCUCUCAGCGACUUUUCUUUCCCCGCUCCAGCUCUCUUGAGCUCCAGGCCUACUCUGAUGCUACCUGGACUAGUGAUCCCUCUGAUCGACGCUCGCUGUCUGCUUACUGUGUUUUUCUUGGUGGCUCUCUUAUUGCCUGGAAGACAAAGAAGCAGACUGCAGUUUCUCGCUCGAGUACAGAGGCUGAGUUGCGAGCCAUGGCUAUGUUGACCGCUGAGGUGAUUUGGUUACGGUGGUUACUUGAGGAUUUUGGUGUGUCUGCUACUACCUCAACUCCUCUCCUGUCCGACAGUACCGGUGCUAUCAGUAUUGCGCGUGACCCGGUGAAGCAUGAGCUCACCAAGCACAUCGGUGUGGAUGCCCACUUUGUGCGUGCUGCUGUGCAGGAUCAGACUCUCGCUCUUCACUAUGUGCCCUCUGAGUUACAGUUGGCUGACUUCUUCACGAAGGCACAGACUCGAGCGCAGCAUGGGUUUUUUCUCUCCAAACUCAGUGUUGUUGAUCCACCAUGAGUUUGAGGGGGGGUGUUAGAUGUGUAUAGUUCAUUGUGUACAUCCCCAUUGUAUAAGGGGCUUGUCUGCACUUUACCACACCUGUAUAUGUACUUGCCUUUGGCCCUCAGUAAAGAGUUAGUUGCUCACUUAUCCAACAGAUUUCAUCUCCCGUAGGCCUGCAGUGGCAACAUUGUUCCAAGUUGAACUGCAGGUCCAUAUGUUCCCUUUUGCUAACUGUAAUAUUUCCCCUUUAUCUUAGCCUUUUCCUAUACUUGUGCCACUCAACCAAUAUAAUGUACUUAAGGAAAUGCUUGUUAGCUGUAAAUAUUUCUUAUUUUUUCCUUAGUUUUUUUUAAUAUCAAGUGUUUUUUAAUUGAUCUAUACGUGUUGAAUGAGGUACAGAGUAGUCGCUACUCCCUCCGUUUCUAAAUAGAAGCCCAUCUAGAGAUUUCAAUACGAACUACAUACGGAUGUAUAUAGACAUAUUUUAGGGUGUACAUUCAAUCAUUUUGCUCCGUAAGUAGUCCAUAGUGGAAUCCCUAAAAGGUCUUAUACUUAGGAACGGAGGGAGUAAUAAGUUAGUGUACAUUUUAAAAAUGUAACUAUUUCCAAUUAUUAAUGCAUUUUUGCAAUAUUUCGCCAAAAAAAUAGAUAAUAGCUUAAUAUCAAAACAUGUUUGAUAGCAUUGUACGUACGCAAUAUAAUGUCUUGAUGCUUUCACUAUUUUUUAUUAAAUAAUAAGCUUAUAGAAUCAAAUAUCACAUAAUAUAGAUUUCUGAUGUUUGGUUAUGAAGUCUUUACACCUGUUGAUGCAAGUUUGCAUUACUUUGGUAGGGUAAGUACACCACAUUUGACCUGCCAUAUCAUGUUAGCAUACUUAAGUCAGACUUUCUUUGUAAGAGAUUUUGCAGUGUAGUAAGUUCCUAUAUAUGUAAUUCAUACGUAAUAGUCCACUGGCCUCAUCUUGUGAAAGAACAUCAUGCUGAAAUUCUGUUUUUUGUUCAUACUUUUAGAAUAUUUCUGUAUAGACUAUAUUCUUGACCACAUCAUCCUGAUUGCUAUCUUCAUCAUCUACCAUUACCUGCCGUCCCUCCCUUUGUGUUACUCUUGAGAAGGCUACGUAUAAUUGUCCAUGUGUGAAAACUUGUUUAGGUAGAUAUAGUCCUACCUUGUUCAGAGAUUGGCCCUGGCUUUUGUUGAUAGUCAUAGCAAAGCAAACUGAUGUAGGAUAUUGUCUCCUUUUUAGAACAAAUGGCCAUGCUGAUUCAGUUGGUGACAUGACUAUUCUUUGAAUAUAUACCUUUUCUCCCGAUGUGUUCCGGUUACUAUCCGUGCUUCGAUGAAUUUUCUUCCAAGUUGAAUAAUUAUCAUCCUUGUACCAUUGCAUAAUCCAGCACUUUGGUUGAUAUUACGUAGUAGCAUUACAUGUAUGCCAACUUUUAAGGCCCUCGACGAUGUGAGGAUCUAUUGAAUCCCUUUUAUCUUCUGUUGUCGACGUAUUAAUCCUGUUUCAUACCUUAUUUCCAGUGUCAUAGAUGUACAAUUGUGCCCACUGUGGUUUAUCUUUACCUUCAGGCAGUACAGUACCUAUUUUGUGGUAGUUUUUCUCAUUCAUUCUAAGAACAUAUGGUCCAAUGCCAUUGUUUAUUUGUUUGUCUGCUUUUCCUCCCAUUGUUGUGAAAGUAAACAUGGAGUUGUACAAUCUGAUAUUUUGCAAGCAGUUUUUUGACCUCUUUCCAUUGUCUUUCCUUAGCAAUUUCGCAAGGUAAGUUGGGGGAUCUCUUAAUGGUGGCAAAUCAACUUUGCCAUGUUGGCAGCAUAGUCCAAAAGAUGGCAUGCUUUUCGCUCUACCUGAAGUUCUUUCUUUGUACCAGAAAAUUGCACCGCAUUGUUAACACUUGCAUUUUGGUUUUCCGAAGUUCCAAAUUUCCACAUCAGUCCUCUUCGAUUCCCUGUUAAAGUUUAUGUAUUUAGCAUAAAUUUAAAUCUUAGUAAUGUCUGGUGUUGUUGAUAAUAUGUUAACUUGAUAGAACUUGUAAUUUUUUAUAUUUUGUUCUCAUCGUUUUCGAUGUAGUAGACAUUUUAUUACUUUUUUGUAGUACACGCACAUAACAGAAAAUAUCAGGUCCACUAAUCUCCAAAUUUUAGAUGCUGAUUGUAAUUUAUUUUUUGCAUACCUCAUAGUUUUAUCAGCCGGGCGAAUCUCCUUCUUUUGUUGAUGGUUCUGCAACCCUCUUGGUUUGCAUUUUUCUUUUCCUAUGUAGUCUUGCGUCUUUUGCUUUUUCUGUUGAGUUACUUUUCCUGCAUAAACAUAAAUACUAAUUAUUAGAAGUGAGAGAUUACGUUACGUCUGGCAAAAGGAAUUUAUUACUCCUCGUGUUAACUUUAAAAUAUAUAUAUUUUGCCUUAGCUACAGUUCAUUGAUACUUGUAGCAUUUUAUUGUGAUUUAGUAGGCCAUUAGGCUACUCAUAGUGGGGAGUAUCAUAUACUAGUAUCAUGCAUAUGAUACUAGUGUAUGAUACUACCUCCAUAGUGCAUAGUAUCAUAAAGUAGUAUCAUAGAUUACCAUAUUUAUUGCCAUGCAUGACACAAAAGUAGCAUAUCAUUUAACAUGAUACGGUAUCUACCUAUGAUACUCUGACCCUCUCUCUCUUCUUCAAUUGUGUGCCACAUAAGCAUGUUUGAUAGUCCCAAGGGAAUGUUACCGGUUAUAUUACCCCCACUAUGGCCAGCCUUACAAAUUUGCCACGCUUGAAGAUGAGGAAAUGCAUGGGCGGGUGGUCUUUAUAAUCACUAAGUUAGUGAAGGUAAUUUUUCUCUAUUUAGAAAGAUUUUAGCACAUAGAUUGCAUAGUUGAUGUGUAUAGCAUAGGCACGGUACAUAAUGUUGCUUCCUGUAUACUGUAAUACCAACCAUGCGUCAUUAAUCUUAAAGUUUAACAUUUGAAUUGAGAAUGUAAUUAAUCCAAAUGAAUGAUAACAUGCAUAAGAGAGAAACUAUGUGAAGAUUUUCUUACUUCACAUGUAUCAAAGGUUGUCCUUUUUGUAUGUCUGCGGAGCCUGGCACAUCUCCAUGUAUGAUUGAAGACCUUCUGUUUCUCUCUCUUGAAGUGUCAUUCUCCUUUCUGAUCUUGCGAUUUUGCUGAUUGUCUGGGUUUGCAUCAAUAAGAUAACAAUUUAAAAUAUUGUUUUUCUCGUCGAAGCUAAAAUCAAUUAGGAACAUUAAGUGCAUAACUGGAGUUGAUUUUUUUUAUAUUAUACUAUGAUAGUAGAUAUCAAAUAUUCAAGAUUAGUAUCGGAUCACCUUGUUGGAUUGCAUAUUUGAUUUGUUUAAACCAUCUCGGUAGGUUUCUAACAUUCCUUGGUAUGCGGCCCACCUUUUCUUUUCAUUGUGUAUUCCUGCAUAAUGGAGAGUGCAAAUAUACAGCUAAAGUGAAUGAUAUUAUUAAUAUUGUUACAGAAAGUGGCAGACCUAGAAAUUGUGGUUUGCUGAGGCAACAGAUGACGAUAAAGAUCAAUG